ACGAAAAAAAAAUAUAAAAAAAAAAGACAAGGUCGGUGUGCUGCAUGGAGGAGGGUGCCCACCCUUGACCCUAGACUCGCUCGGUCACUGCAACGGUAACUGUCUUUCUUUCGAUGAGGCGUUUCCGCCCUGCUGCUGCCAACGACAUCUCCUCAACCACCAUGUCUUCUCGCCCUACCUCCCGAGGUGGUCGCUGGAGGGGCUUCUCCGACCGUUCUCACACCGGAGGGAGAGGCCAAGGGGACCAUUUCGUGACUGGAGACUCGCACUUCCGCUCAGUACGCGACGCCAACCUAGGGUUCCGCCGAGGUGAUUUGGCAAGUUUCGCCGACCAAACCGGGUUUCGCCCUCCACCUCUCAACCCUAGACCACAUCCGUAUACUCAAAACGCACAGUUUCGUCAGCCGCCUCCUCCCCCUUACAACAAUCAAAACCAACGGUACAGGCAGCCUCCACCUUAUAAUAAUCAAAGCCAGCAGUUUCGGCAGCAUUUGCGGUUCGAUCCGAACCAGGCGUUUCGUCCACCACAGCAAUUCCGGCCGAAGCCCUUGGAUUAUCGGAAUUGGGAGUAUGCGACGCAGGCACCCUCUCCUAAUUGUGAGAGGUUUGUGGUUCUUUCGUAUAACAUAUUGGCUGACUACCUUGCUAUUAACCACCGGAGCAAGCUUUACUUUCACAUACCCCGUCAUAUGUUGGACUGGGAGUGGAGAAAGAAAAAUAUACUUUUUGAGCUUGGAUUAUGGUCAGCUGACGUAAUGUGCUUCCAGGAGGUUGAUAGAUUUCAGGAAUUAGAAGAGGAGUUGAAGCUUAGGGGGUACAGUGGCAUUUGGAAGAUGCGUACUGGCACUCCAGUUGAUGGCUGUGCAAUCUUUUGGCGAAUGUCAAGAUUCAAGUUGCUUCAUGAGGAAUGCAUCGAGUUCAAUAAGCUUGGACUUAGGGAUAAUGUUGCUCAGAUAUGUGUGCUGGAGUUGGUGAAUAAAAAUUCAAGUGAAGAGACUUUAGCUCUACCAAUAAGCUCAAAAGGUUCCAGUAAGGUUGUCGUAUGUAAUAUCCAUGUGCUUUACAAUCCAAAAAGAGGAGAAAUUAAGCUUGGCCAGGUCAGGGCGCUCCUAAAUAGGGCCCAUUCUGUUUCAAAACUCUGGGAUGAUGCUCCAGUUGUUAUAUGUGGGGAUUUUAAUUGUACCCCCAAGAGUCCAUUGUACAACUUUAUUUCUGGAAGGAAGCUAGAUUUGUCUGGAGUGGGUAGAGAUAAGGUGUCAGGACAAGCUACUGCAGAAAUAUCUGCACAAAGGUCAUAUAAUUCUAAUUAUGGGACCAGGUCUGCUAAUAAUUCGAGUAAUGAUCCAUCAUUGACAGAUAGAACGGAAAUUGACAACAAGGUCAGUGUUUCGGUUUCAGAUAAGAAGCUGGAUGAUCUAGACUGCACUGAGGAUAGUGUUCCAGGAAUGAGCAACUCACAGCUUGAACGUGUUAACACUGUCUUGGAUCCAUCUGAUGAAUCUUGCUCUGACAUGCAAAGCCGAAGCGAAAAGGAUGGUGGGGCAUUGCAGAAUGAAGCGAGAAAAGAAACUCAGCAGAGUGCUGUGGAUGGCUUUAAGGAGUUAUAUGAAUCAAGUUCUCGUGAUGCAGUUGAUGGAUCCAGGGGAGACUCAAGUGCUUCUCACAGUGAAGGUGGGUUUUCUGAUAAAUAUACUCAUCCAGUAGCUUCUGAUCACGAAGAAGUUUACUCUAAUGUUAUUCACAGUGGAUACAGUGAAGAAGUAAAUGACCCCCCUCAUUCACAUGAUGGAUCAUUAAGUGAAUAUGCUGAGUCCAAUGACAAUGUAGAAAAUGUAGUUGAAGUCUUUCCUCCAGGCAAUCCAUCAUCCCAUCCAGUUGGGAAUGAUGAUUAUGCUAGCUCUCUGAGCCAAUAUCAAGCCAGCAUUUCAUGCCCAUCUACUAGCAUUGACUUUAUAGCAGAUGAGAAACUGGAGAAUUUAUCUCAAAAUGGGCCUGAUAAAGCCGUGGCAGAAGAUGGAGAUGUAGGUGAAGAUGAAAGCACAUUUUUAUCUUCAUUGCAUGACACUGAAGAUGUCUUCCGAUCUGAUUUUGAUCAAUUAAGAUCAAACCUUGCAGUAUCAGAUCAGUCCAAGGAGCUUGAGUCCUUUCCCCACAAUUCACCGUCAAAUUCACUAAGCAAUGAAAUUGAGAAUGAUUUAUCCCCAAGCUUGGAUUAUGUGCCUGUUGCUAUGGAAAACACUGCUUAUGAUCCUUCAUCAUGGACUCCAAUGGAAAUAGAAAUGGCUACGGGCAAUGCAGACUGCACCCUUUUGGACCACCCUCUAAUGCUCAGUAGCACAUACACAGAGGUUAAGGAUUGUUCAGGGACUAGAGACUCAAAUGGGGAGCCCUUAGUUACCAGUUACAACAGGUGUUUUCUGGGCACGGUUGAUUACAUAUGGCGUUCUGAAGGUCUCCAGACUGUUCGGGCUCUUGCUCCAAUACCAAAUCAUGCAAUGCAAUGGACUCCGGGGUUCCCAACGAAGAAAUGGGGUAGUGAUCAUAUUGCACUGGCUGCUGAAUUGGUGCUUGUGAAAGAUGGGGAGUAAUCACAACACAGAAUCUCUCUUGAUAUUUGAGGUUUAGAAAGUUGUGGGACUGGUGCACCAGCUCAUCCAAUGUUUUUUCACCCCAUAGCAGCAAGAUUUGGCUUGUGGAGAGGUCUGCAGUUUUAAGAAGGCUACGGUAACAACGAAACGAGAAUGGUACUAAUAGCUAGGCCUGCAACUCGGGCUGUGUUUGGACCUGACCUGACCCGAUCCAAUUCUCAGAAGAAUAAAACACAACUCAAUCCGACUAAAGUCGGAUCAACCCGACUUCACUCAGAAUAUCAGAAUAGGCACAAAACUCGCCGGUUCUCCACCACGAACUUGGUGUAGCAGAAAACAUACAGUAUAGUGGAUACGCCGGCCGAACAAUAAGACGACGACAACCUGCGUUUUCCUUGGCCUCGUACCCUGUAAGAACGAAGACAUUACCGCCAAUGACACACUGAUGAGGAACCACAUGAGGUCCCACCACGUGAACGUCUUCUUCAUCUCAUGCUGGCUUCGAGCCUUCCGUCGAGUCCAUGAACCGAGUCAAGACCCGAUCCCUCAACUUCAACAAAGUCUCCAUGAGCGCCCUCCCAUAUUUUCCCUAGCUCUGAAACCAUCUCUUGGGGAGAACUCAUCCCACCACGUGAACGUCUUCUUCAUCUCAUGCGGGCUCCGAGCCUUUCGUCGAGUCCAUGAAUCGAGUCAAGAUCCGAUCUCUCAACCUCAACAAAGUCUCCAUGAGGGCCCUCCCAUAGUUUCCCCAUCUCAGAAAGAAUCUCUUGACUUGUUGGCACGAACACCCUCCUUCUUGAAAAUUUGAGAUCUAAAAAGAAAAUAAAGAAGACGAAGACGGGUUGAGCAAAUUGUACGGGUUGAAUCCGAUCACUAGCCAAAACCGUUCUUCUUGAAUCAGGUCGGGUCGGUGUUCACGGACGGGCUGGGUCGCUCAGUUUCCUGUACAGGCCUACUAAUAGCGUGCUAAGUAAUGUACUCAUGAUAUAUUUAUAACUUCUCUUUAUAAUUUUGAUAUAAUUGUGUUGAAUUGAGAAUAUUUAUAUAAAGGAAUGAUAUUUUUGAAGUUGUUUUAUAUAAAAAAAAAAAAAAAUUAUUUAAAAUAUUGUUGUAAAAAUAUAAAAAAAAAAAGUUAAAAGUGAAUCAUUUUCCUAGCUGAGGUCGGGGCCGUACAGGUAUCUUUCCUUUACAGCACUGAUGCAGACUGGGAGCAAAAAGCGCUAUGUAUUGUCAAUGAUCUUUACGGGGUCCACAUGCAAUUCAUUUCUGCGGGAUUUACGUAAUGCAAUGAUUUAUUGCCCGAAAAAUAAAUAAAAGAAAGGACAGGACACUCCCUUUUUUUAGGGCAAUUGUAUCAUUUGCAUGGAAGAAUACCGACGUACUUUUCGUAUUCUUCUUUUUAAUUUUCAGGUAGAGAAAUGAUAGUCUACCGAGCAUUUGCACCGAUUGGUGUAUUUUUAUUUUUAAUUUUUUUAAUGUUAAGAAAUACAUUGAAAAAAAAAAUAAAAAAAUAAAACAAUAAGAAAGGGAGUCAUAUUAAAUUGUCCGAUUUGAUUUGGCUGAUGGGUUGGUGGUAAGGUUUUGGAUGGUCUGAAUCUUUUUUCUUUUUACUUUUUUAAAUUACCAAGUGUUAAAUAGGUCUUAUUGAUUGAAGAUUCAUGGGACCGCUGCUCAGAAAAAAGUAAAAAAAGAAAGAAAAAGAAAAAGGGCAAAACAAUAAAGAAACAACGACGACGACAACAAAACCAACAGAGAUAACAGGUUCGUCCCAAAAAAAAAAAAAAAACA